GCUCAUGGUAAAGAUUCGGACACACCCGAGGCAAUGACGCUUGAUGUCCAAGGAAUUGCAGUUUAGCUUAACUGCCUGCGGUGCGAUGUGGUGGUGCGUUGCGUCCUCUCGAGGCCACGUGGCAUUAAUAAUUUAGUGUGCGUUGUUAGUGCUCGGUCCCCACCCUCGCCUUCUUCUGUUUCGUGGGUCGGUAAGUACCAUGUCACAGGUUCAUCGCGGGACAACGCGGGACAGCGCUGGGAGCAACCCUUCGUAUCAGAUACGGAAAGGCACCGUUUCCUAGGACGUUAGGAUGCUAGGUUGCUAGGCUGCUAACCCUGAUUGCCUUACAGGUGUACUAAUUGUGUAGAUCAUUCCACAGCAAUGCAAUCAACACCAGUGACGAGAUGCAACGGAAAUUAGUGAAGAAGAUGCAUGGAGAAACCAGUGGCGUGAUACAUUAGGUUGUGUGGGGAUUACUGGGAAGAGGAUGGUAUUGCGACGAAGGGACUCUUGCUGCUUAAGUAAUGGGACAUCGCAAACACGUGCCCGCUACGAGCUCCAAGAGGAAAGAGGAAAAAGGAAACGCCGGUUGAAGAAGGGAAAGGUGCCUCGUCAGCAGGCAAUGGACGCACGUGUUACGGUGAGGAAAGUUGUCUUGUAGGUGAUAAUAUCAACUUAAAUUUCAGGUGCUAAUCACGUACAUUACCUU